AUUAGGAAUCUUGCGCAAUGGGCGAAAGCCUGACGCAGCGACGCCGCGUGGAGGAGGAAGUCUUUCGGGAUGUAAACUCCUUUUGACGAGGAAGAAGGAUGUGACGGUACUCGUCGAAUAAGCCCCGGCUAACUACGUGCCAGCAGCCGCGGUAAUACGUAGGGGGCGAGCGUUGUCCGAAGUUACUGGGCGUAAAGCGCGCGUAGGCGGGGGAGCAAGUCCGCUGUGAAAGCCCGGAGCUUAACUCCGGAGGGUCGGUGGAUACUGCCAGUCUUGAAGGUGCUAGGGGGAGAUGGAAUUACCGGUGUAGCGGUGAAAUGCGUAGAUAUCGGUAGGAACACCAGUGGCGAAGGCGGUCUCCUGGGGCAUUCUUGACGCUGAGGCGCGAAAGCUGGGGGAGCAAACG
rnacentral:rRNA from 1 species